AUUUGUUAAUAAACAUUAUUAUGGAAAAAAAAUCUGUUCUUAUCAGUUUAAUAUCUGAUACGUCCUCUACCCGAGGACUAUAUAUUAAUCUGAUUUUUGGAACAGGGAGCGGAAAGAGGGAGCUUGCUCAGAUCCGCUCCCACCGCAUCGACCAAUUGACCGUGACUCAGGAGCAGUGCACAUCCC